CCUCCCUCGGUAAGCAAAUGGUACUCCAAGCAACCAAUGGUUUUUUAUUACCCCAAAGAAAAUUACGACAAAGCUUAAUUAUCCUUGAGGCUACCGUAGAUGGGAUAGGGAGUAUAGAUAGCCAAAAACACUCCACACCUUGUAGUACGGCUCUAACAAGUUCCGCCCUGCCCGCAUAAGAGAGUGAAGAUCUUGUCCAUGCACAAAUGUAAGCCGACAAUUUAUCAAAGAGCACAUCAUAUGAGCUGAUUUUUAAUUUCACGGCGGCAAGUGGGAUUCCCAAAUAUCGAAAUGGCAUAGAACCUUUAGGAAUGUUGGUCAAUGCCUCAACACCCUCUAAAUCUUGACCGUGAAUCCCCGCCGUAAACAUGUUAGAUUUGCUAACAUUCAUUCUAAGCCCCGACACAUCUUCCAACUUAGAAAGACAAUUCAUCAAAAGUCUAACCGAUAUAAAAUCACCCCUAGCAAAGAGCAUCAAGUCAUCGGCAAAAGCAAGAUGUGUGAUCUUUAAUGGGCCACAUUUAGGGUGAUAAUUGAAAUCACUGUCCUCAGUAUCACUUUUCAACAUUCUUGAAAAAUAUUCAAGACAAAGUACAAACAAGAAUGGAGAGAGCGGGUCACAUUGUCUAAGCCCUUUUCUACCCUUGAAAAAUCCAUGUAGACUACCAUUGAGUGCAAUAGAGUAACUAGGAGUAGAAAUGCAUUCCAUAAUCCAACGAAUAAACUUAGCUAGAAAAUCCAAACCUUCAAGUACGCUUUUGAGAAAAUCUCAAUUCACUGAAUCAUAUGCUUUUGUUAGAUCAAUUUUAAGAAGGCGUCUUGGGGCAACUCUUUUCCGAUUGUAUUGUCUCAAAAGCUCUUGUGCAAGGUGAAUAUUUUCGAUCAUACUUCUUCCCUCCACAAAAGCCGCCUGUGCUUGAUCAACAAUGGAUCCAAGUAUAGGUCCCAAUCUAGAAGCGAUGAUCUUUGUAAUGACCUUGUAGAAUACAUUACAACAUGCAAUUGGCCUAUAGUCGCCAAGGGAGGAUGAGUGAUUUGUCUUAGGAACCAAAGCAAUCACUGUAUGAUUUAUUUGCUUAAGAAGGGAGGAAGAGUUGAAAAACUCUUUGAUAGCCUUCUUAAACUCACAUCCAACAAUGCUCCAUGAUUUUUUAAAGAAACAAGAUGUAAAUCCAUCCGGGCCCGACGACUUGUCAUCCCCAAUACUAAACAAAGCAUCUUUAAUCUCUUGAUCUGAAAUUUCACGAAUAAGUGACAAAGCAUGCUCUUCCGUUAGCACGGGUCCAUUCUUUACAACCUCAACCUCAAUAGGUUGAACAACACAGUUAUUUCCCAGCAAGUUCAUAUAGAAACACAUGAAUUCAUCCACCACUUCCUUAAGAGAAGAAGUAUAGGUCCCAUCCCUUUUCAACACGGUAGCAAUAUAGUUCCUCUUGUUAUUUCUCUUAACCACCGAAUGGAAAAACUUAGUGCACUUAUCACUAUUUUUUAGAUAAGUACACUUAGCUUUUUGAUAAACUUCUCUCCGCUUCACCAAAAAUCGCGGCCUCUUUCCUUAAUCUAGCCACUUCAUAUUGAAGAUGAGUGUUUGUAGGGUUACCAUGCAAUUCCACUUGCACUUCUUUCAAAAUUCUAGAUGCGGUUUCGGCCCGAGAGGAGAUAUGUGAGAAGUGCUUAUCAUUGAAACUCCUUAGUACCCCUUUAAGAUUUUGUAACUUUUUGCAAAAAGUAAAUUGCUUCGUUCCCACUAUCUUCAUGUUCCAACAAUCUUAAACAAUGUCUAGAAAAUCAUCAUGAUCCGCCCACAUGUUGAAAAACCUAAAAGGUUUUCCUUUGCUAUCAUCUUGUUGUAAAAGUGAUACAACACAUGGAGAGUGGUCUGAGAGACAUCUCGAAGGCAAAAAUUCAGCAAUGCUAUGAAUUCCUGAUUGCACCCACACGUCAUUAAUCAUGGCUCUAUCAAUUUUGCUCCAAGUCUUAUUGUUGUUCCACGUGUAGAAACAACCAAUAGACCUCAUAUUCGUAAGUCCAACAUUAAGACAACAAUCCUCGAAUUCUCUAAUUUCAUAUGGUGUAACAUCCGGUCCAUUACACUUUUCAUCAAACUUAAGCACGUUGUUGAAAUCCCCCAUAAUCAACCAUGGUAAUGAGCAAUUUGUUCCAAG
rnacentral:lncRNA from 1 species